ACUCAACAUGGCUGUCCAACCUGCCAGCAGUGCCCAGUGGAAGUGGGAAGGCGUGGAGUCUGAGUCGCCCCUGCCAACUGCCUGCUGGUUCUCCUCAUUAAAAGAGGGCAAAAGACAGCACAGUGAAACGGAACAAGGGAAGAUGCAGAAGGAUAUAGUUCUCAGAUAUCAAGCCCGAUAUGGAAAAGGACACCAAUGCAAUGUUGUUUACCUCAGUCGAGAGCUGCUAAGAAUCUCAAGGAACUGAUGGAUUUCUCUUUAAGGAUCAGCUGAGGAGAGUGGGCAUGUUCAGUUUAAAGAAAGAGAUGUUUGGAGGACUUGUUGCAGUGCUUGGACAUAGGUUACAGAACAGAAGGAUGGCUGCAAUUUUGUUUUGUCUUGGCUUGAGCAGAGAGCAAAAGACAGCACAGUGAAA